GCAGCAGGCGCGAAACCUUUACACUGCACGCAAGUGCGAUAGGGGGACACCGAGUGCGAGGGCAUAGAGCCCUCGCUUUUGUGCAUCGUAAGGUGGUACACGAAUAAGGGCUGGGCAAGACCGGUGCCAGCCGCCGCGGUAACACCGGCAGCCCGAGUGAUGGCCGCUUUUAUUGGGCCUAAAGCGUCCGUAGCCGGCCGUUCAGGUCCGUCGGGAAAUCCACUGGCUCAACCAGUGGGCGUCCGGCGGAAACCGAUCGGCUUGGGACAGGGAGACCAGAGGGGUACGUCCGGGGUAGGAGUGAAAUCCUGUAAUCCUGGACGGACCACCGGUGGCGAAAGCGCCUCUGGAGAACUGAUCCGACGGUGAGGGACGAAAGCUGGGGUCUCGAACCGGAUUAGAUACCCGGGUAGUCCCAGCUGUAAACAAUGCUCGCUYGGUGUGUCGCAGGCUACGAGCCUGCGAUGUGCCGUAGGGAAGCCGAGAAGCGAGCCGCCUGGGAAGUACGUCCGCAAGGAUGAAACUUAAAGGAAUUGGCGGGGGAGCACUACAACCGGAGGAGCCUGCGGUUUAAUUGGAUUCAACGCCGG
rnacentral:rRNA from 1 species